ensembl:misc_RNA 7SK 7SK RNA
GGAUGUGAGAGCGAUCUGGCUGCAGCAUCUGUCAUUGAUCGUCAGGAUUGAUUCGCCUGAUCAGGCUGGCUAGUCGGGUGUCCCCUCCCUCCCUCACCACUCCAUGUACAUCGCUCCCAAAGGUGCAUGCUCAGUCGAAGAGGACGACCUUCCCCGAAUAGAGGAGGAUGGAUCUUUGGUCAAGCGUAUACGAGUAGUGCCACUCCCCUGCUAGAACCUCCAAAAAAAUUCUCAAGAAAAUGACUGACAAUCUGCCAAUAUAGGAAGGACAGUUUUAAAUUUCCUGCUACACUGAGAUAUCUGCCAGAUACUGU